rnacentral:rRNA from 2 species
CACCCAGGACGGUGGAUCACUCGGCUCGUGGGUCGAUGAAGAACGCAGCAAAUUGCGCGUCGACAUGUGAGCUGCAGGACACAUGAACAUCGACGUUUCGAACGCACAUUGCGGUCCAUGGAUUCCGUUCCCGGGCCACGUCUGGCUGAGGGUCG